rnacentral:misc_RNA from 1 species
GAAAUGCGAUAACUAGUGUGAAUUGCAGAAUUCCGUGAAUCAUCGAGUCUUUGAACGCACAUUGCGCCCCCUGGUAUUCCGGGGGGCAUGCCUGUCCGAGCGUCAUUGCUGCCCAUCAAGCACGGCUUGUGUGUUGGGUCGUCGUCCCCUCUCCGGGGGGGACGGGCCCCAAAGGCAGCGGCGGCACCGCGUCCGAUCCUCGAGCGUAUGGGGCUUUGUCACCCGCUCUGUAGGCCCGGCCGGCGCUUGCCGAACGCAAAUCAAUCUUUUUCCAGGAUGACCUCGGAUCAGGUAGGGAUACCCGCUGAACUUAAGC